rnacentral:sRNA from 1 species
UAAAGAGGAGUUCAGUCUAGGAACACUAUGUCCUAUGGCAACGACUGAGUGACUAACAUCCUGUUUA